AACCAGCACCUCAAGUGGUCAGGAUGAUUAUUGGGCCUAAAGCAUCCGUAGCCGGCUCUGUAAGUUUUCGGUUAAAUCUGUACGCUCAACGUACAGGCUGCCGGGAAUACUGCAGAGCUAGGGAGUGGGAGAGGUAGACGGUACUCGGUAGGAAGGGGUAAAAUCCUUUGAUCUAUUGAUGACCACCUGUGGCGAAGGCGGCCUCCUGGCUCGACACUGACACUGAGGUGCGAAAGCGUGGGGAGCAAACAGG
rnacentral:rRNA from 1 species